rnacentral:rRNA from 1 species
AUUGAACGCUGGCGGCAGGCCUAACACAUGCAAGUCGAGCGAGCGGCGGACGGGUGAGGAAUGUCUGGGAAACUGCCCGAUGGAGGGGGAGAACGAAUGGAAACGGUAUAUAAUAUCGCCUACCAUCUGAUGUGCCCAGAUGGGAGUAGCUAGUAGGUGGGGUAACGGCUCACCUAGGCGACGAUCCCCAGCUGGUCUGAGAGGAUGAUCAGCCACACUGGAACUGAGACACGGUCCAGACUCCUACGGGAGGCAGCAGUGGGGAAUAUUGCACAAUGGGCGAAAGCCUGAUGCAGCCAUGCCGCGUGUGUGAAGAAGGCCUUCGGGUUGUAAAGCACUUUCAGCGGGGAGGCGUUACCCGCAGAAGAAGCACCGGCUAACUCCGUGUCAGCAGCCGCGGUAAUUC